CCUACGUGUGGCAGCAGUGAGGAAUAUUGGUCAAUGGGAGAGAUCCUGAACCAGCCAAGCCGCGUGAGGGAAGACGGCCCUAUGGGUUGUAAACCUCUUUUGUCGGAGAACAAAACCCGGGACGUGUCCCGGACUGCGUGUAUCCGAAGAAAAAGCAUCGGCUAACUCCGCGCCAGCAGCCGCGGUAAUACGGAGGAUGCGAGCGUUAUCCGGAUUUAUUGGGUUUAAAGGGUGCGUAGGCGGUCCGUUAAGUCAGCGGUAAAAUUGCGGGGCUCAACCCCGUCGAGCCGUUGAAACUGGCAGACUUGAGUUGGCGAGAAGUACGCGGAAUGCGUGGUGUAGCGGUGAAAUGCAUAGAUAUCACGCAGAACCCCGAUUGCGAAGGCAGCGUACCGGCCGGUCACUGACGCUGAGGCACGAAAGUGCGGGUAUCGAACAGGAUUAGAUACCCGAGUAGUC
rnacentral:rRNA from 1 species